CAUUCACGGAGAGUUUGAUCCUGGCUCAGGACGAACGCUGGCGGCGUGCUUAACACAUGCAAGUCGAACGAUGAACCGCUUUCGGGCGGGGAUUAGUGGCGAACGGGUGAGUAACACGUGGGCAAUCUGCCCUGCACUCUGGGACAAGCCCUGGAAACGGGGUCUAAUACCGGAUAUGACUGUCCAUCGCAUGGUGGAUGGUGUAAAGCUCCGGCGGUGCAGGAUGAGCCCGCGGCCUAUCAGCUUGUUGGUGAGGUAGUGGCUCACCAAGGCGACGACGGGUAGCCGGCCUGAGAGGGCGACCGGCCACACUGGGACUGAUGCACGGCCCAGACUCCUACGGGAGGCAGCAGUGGGG
rnacentral:rRNA from 1 species